UGAGUAACGCGUGAGAAUCUGCCCUCAGGAGGGGGAUAACGGUUGGAAACGACCGCUAAUACCCCAUAUGCCGCGAGGUGAAAUGAAUUUCGCCUGAGGAUGAGCUCGCGUCUGAUUAGUUAGUUGGUGGGGUAAAGGCCUACCAAGACAUCGAUCAGUAGCUGGUCUGAGAGGAUGAUCAGCCACACUGGGACUGAGACACGGCCCAGACUCCUACGGGAGGCAGCAGUGGGGAAUUUUCCGCAAUGGGCGAAAGCCUGACGGAGCAACGCCGCGUGAGGGAUGAAGGCCUCUGGGCUGUAAACCUCUUUUAUCAAGGAAGAAGAUCUGACGGUACUUGAUGAAUAAGCCACGGCUAAUUCCGUGCCAGCAGCCGCGGUAAUACGGGAGUGGCAAGCGUUAUCCGGAAUUAUUGGGCGUAAAGCGUCCGCAGGCGGUCUGUCAAGUCUGCUGUUAAAGCGUGGAGCUUAACUCCAUUUCGGCAGUGGAAACUGACAGACUAGAGUGUGGUAGGGGCAGAGGGAAUUCCCGGUGUAGCGGUGAAAUG
rnacentral:rRNA from 1 species